UACUGGCUGACAAAAGAAGACAGACUCCGAGCUGCCUCUCUAUCAUGAGAUAAAAGAUCAGUUUAGGUUAAAAGGUGGCUCUGUUCCGCCAUGUACAGCGGUGACAUCCUGGCACAUUUGUCUAUAAUUAAUUGCGCUACAUGAGGUGACUUUAGUGCUGUUCCAGAUCCAGGUGUCAAUCGAACUGGUGUGGUGGACUCUGGCUCCCCUGGUCUUAAUGCCUGGAGCUCGGCAUUGUCUCUUACUGAGGUAUAGCAUUGGAAGCAUCCGUCUGACCCAGUGUUUUCCUUUUACUCAGCGGCCCACAAAACCUCCAGAAUUGAUCUGGCAUAUGUGUCGUCCGAUCUUCUGUCCAUGAUGCUUGCCAGGGUAUCCACAGAGAUCAACAGAUGAAAAAUAAGAAUUUAAAUGGAAGGGGCAAACAAAGCAGCAUGAAUAUUUUGCUUUUCAAGUAUUUUAUAUGGCUAUAACGUUUGGUAUAUCAAAUGUAAAAUAAGAUAAGGCAUUUUCUAAUAAAUUAUUAUUUGACUACUGCUGCAUCAUUUAUCAUCAUAAUUAACAAGUAUGCUGACAGUAAAAAUAAAUGUAGCAGGUACAGGUGUGCUCUCCUUACACAAAUGUUUGUCUACAUGCACUAAGCUUAGUUUGGUUCACAUUUGUAUUCUCUUGUAUAAUACAAUUGGUAUUCUUCUAAUACAGUAUCAUUCAAAAAACUAAAUCUGGCAGUUCCAUGUGUCCUGGCCUUUCUAAAAAUGUCAUGCUGGCUGCACAAAUGAACAAAGAAUGGCUGCAUUUUAUAUGAACUGCAUCUGCCUUUGCCUUCUAUCUGUCUACUGCCGUCUAUAGAUUCUGUAAGCCAAGUAUUUCUUGACAGUGGUGACAUUUUCAAUGUGUUACGUGUUUGUCGUAAUAAUGAAGCUGGCUAUGCUUGGCAGGCAUUUCAGGGCUUCAAUUUCUCCCUGCUGUCUUUAACAGAAAAAUGACUGUUCUAUCUAUCUAUCUAUCUAUCUAUCU